rnacentral:rRNA from 1 species
AGUGGCGGACGGGUGAGUAACGCGUGAGAAUCUGCCUUGGGGUCGGGGACAACCACUGGAAACCGUGGCUAAUACCGGAUAAGCCGAUUGGUGAAAGAUUUAUUGCCCGAAGAGGAGCUCGCGUCUGAUUAGCUAGUUGGUGAGGUAAGAGCUCACCAAGGCAGCGAUCAGUAGCUGGUCUGAGAGGACGAUCAGCCACACUGGGACUGAGACACGGCCCAGACUCCUACGGGAGGCAGCAGUGGGGAAUUUUCCGCAAUGGGCGAAAGCCUGACGGAGCAAGACCGCGUGAGGGAGGAAGGCUCUUGGGUUGUAAACCUCUUUUCUCAGGGAAGAAGCUCUGACGGUACCUGAGGAAUCAGCCUCGGCUAACUCCGUGCCAGCAGCCGCGGUAAUACGGAGGAGGCAAGCGUUAUCCGGAAUUAUUGGGCGUAAAGCGUCCGCAGGUGGCGAUUCAAGUCUGCUGUCAAAGCACGGGGCUUAACUCCGUAAAGGCAGUGGAAACUGAAUAGCUAGAGUGCCGUAGGGGUAGAGGGAAUUCCCGGUGUAGCGGUGAAAUGCGUAGAGAUCGGGAAGAACAUCGGUGGCGAAAGCGCUCUACUGGACGGCAACUGACACUCAGGGACGAAAGCUAGGGGAGCGAAUGGGAUUAGAUACCCC